GGGGGCGAUCUGGUUUCGACGGGGAUAUGAAGCUUGUUCUGGCAUGCCAAGGCCCUGUAGCUUGUAAAACACAGGAACUGUUUAAUUGCCAACGAGCAAUUAGCACUCGCCGCUUAAUUUAAGCAGCGCGUUCUUUUAGACUUCGCCUGUAGGGUUUAAAAGGGCGACGAUUAUACAGGAUAGUUUCUCCUGUUGCUUUCUGAUGGAGAAGCGAAACUUUAAGAAAGAUAUCUUUCGUGUGAGCCUGCACCCCGGCGCACCGAAGGAGAAAUUUAAGUUGAGGUGAUAAGCAUGUAGUCAGCCAAGGGGAGUAUUUCCGGACGCGGGUUCAAUUCCCGCCGCCUCCAAAA
rfam:Deltaproteobacteria bacterium RIFCSPHIGHO2_02_FTLL_38_15 rifcsphigho2_02_scaffold_12, whole genome shotgun sequence.